GAGCAGAAGAGAGGUCUCCAUCUUCCAGAUCGCUUUCUUCUUGUCCACAGGCUGGGUCAUGGCAUGAUGGUGAAAUGCUAUCUUCAUCCACUGGUGUGGCCAAAGCCAAGGGCAUAUCCUAGAGGAUGCUCAGUCCCUGAUUUAAUCACCCAUCUGCCCUGGGCAGUGCAUAGAACCCCUUGAGUUAGAACAGCUGGGUGUGGUGGCUCAUGCCUGUAAUCCCAGGAAUUUGAGAGGAUGAGGUGGGAGAAU
rnacentral:lncRNA from 10 species